CCUGCAGCGGAUAUAUAUUAAUAUUAGCCCCUGCUGCGGAUACAUAAUUAUAUUAUACCCUGCUGAUGAUAUACAUACUUAUAUUAUACCCUGCUGCCGAUAUACAUAAAAAUUAUACCCUGCUGCCAACAUAUAUUAAUAUUAGCCCCUACUGCCGAUAUAUAUUAUUAGUCCCUGCAGCCAAUAUAUAUAAAUAUUAGCCCCUGCAGCCAAUAUUUAUUGAUAAUAGGCCCUGCAGCCAAUAUAUAUUAAUAUUAGCCCCUGCUGCCGAUAUAUAUAAAUAUUACCCCAUGCAGCCAAUAUAUUUGCCACACUGACUACAGAUCAGGGGAAGACUGUGAGAGUCAGUCCUGCACCGUGACAUUGAGAGGUCCUCUCCCCUGUAAUCAGCUCCAGAGUCCCUUUGUCCCCUCAUUCACUAAACCAUACCGCUCUUUUACUUACACCCUGUAGUUCAGGUAUAGAUCAAAUAAACAACACAUGGAAACAGCACACGCAACUGAAUGAGAUAAAAAAAACCUGUAUUUGCAGGUAUACAUAAAUAAUGUAUGGAAACAUAGCAGAUACAGAUCAACAGAAUUUGACAAACUAUUUGACAUCCAAACAACUAUAAAUCAUUCUUUUUUAUCACAUUAUUAAAAUCCCAGAAAUCAAAAAAGGCCCAAAUAAA